rnacentral:tRNA from 1 species
GAGCUCGUAGACCACGGUGUCCGCCGGCCAGUCCAGCCGGUAGGCGCGGGAGUCCAGGCCCGCGGCCAGGAUCACCACCUGGCGCACUCGC